rnacentral:rRNA from 1 species
UGGGGAAUAUUGCACAAUGGGCGCAAGCCUGAUGCAGCCAUGUCGCGUGUGUGAAGAAGGCCUUCGGGUUGUAAAGUACUUUCAGCGGGGAGGAAGGGAGUAAAGUUAAUACCUUUGCUCAUUGACGUUACCCGCAGAAGAAGCACCGGCUAACUCCGUGCCAGCAGCCGCGGUAAUACGGAGGGUGCAAGCGUUAAUCGGAAUUACUGGGCGUAAAGCGCACGCAGGCGGUUUGUUAAGUCAGAUGUGAAAUCCCCGGGCUCAACCUGGGAACUGCAUCUGAUACUGGCAAGCUUGAGUCUCGUAGAGGGGGGUAGAAUUCCAGGUGUAGCGGUGAAAUGCGUAGAGAUCUGGAGGAAUACCGGUGGCGAAGGCGGCCCCCUGGACGAAGACUGACGCUCAGGUGCGAAAGCGUGGGAGCAAACAGG